CCACAUCACGUCCCUACUGCUGGGGCUUUAAAGGUCGUGGUCCCAUGGCCUAUAUUAUAACCAGCCCUCUAAAACACUGAAGAAGAAGAUAGGUGGCACAAAAAAAGGUAGGGGAGAAAGGGAGAGAAAAGAAAAGAGAAGGAGGAGGAGGAAGAGGAGGGGAGGAAAGGAGGGUUAAGAAAAAGGGAAAGGAGAGAAGAUAGAAGGGAGGAAAGGUAGAGGGAAAGAAAGGGUGAAAAAACGGAGAGAACUAUAUAAAGUCGUCAUCAUGUCCAAGGAAAAUAUAGGAAUCCCGCUGUUUUCUUUUGACCUUGGCAGCGCUGGAGUAACAUCACCACGUUACGAUAUACCUCCUUGCAGAAAUAAGUCGCUCUAGCCCACUACACAUGCGCACUUGGGAAUACACAUCUGGAAAACAUAUUAAUUUCCCAUAUUUUCUUCUAGUUUGUCCACUUGUUAUCUUUGUGAUGGUUGAUAUUGCCCACCAGACAACAACACAUCAGCCCAACAGUUCAAACCAGCAAAAACUGAGUGAACAUCAACGUGGGGUAAUUCUUUCGAAAAUCUGCCAUGUUCGUUUGUUAUAAAGCUUUCUCUUGAUUAAAAAUGUUUCUCUGAUGUUUGUGCCUUGUAUUGGAGCCGAAACAGGACAAAUAAAAGAUAGCGGUGAGUGAAAUAUAGAAAGAGUAAGCAAGUUAAUUGACCCUCUCUCUGCGAGCUAUUUAGCGGAAGCGAGUUGAUUUCUACAACAGCGGAGGCCACUGAGGGACGCCGCGUGACCACGAUUAUUUUUCCUUAGUGUGAACAUGUGACGGAUAUUCAAUGCCUGCCAGACGUCACGGAAUGCUGGAAGGCCAGUUUUAAUUUCAAAGCUGAGCAUCCACAAAAUCAGGCAGACAACAAGGAUGACUACAUGUAUCUACUGAAACAAAUGAGCACACUUCACAUGACACCAUUUAGGACACAAACAGCAUCCAAUCCACUUCUAGCCUGUGAAAUCCUCACAAACGUAACACAAAUCCCUAACGUCCUUGGCCCUACCAGCCAUGUCGACAAAGCACUUUUCGCGUGGAGCAAGACGCAACACAUCCGAUCACGACCACGACCACUCACUCACCUGAGUGAAGGAUACCAGUGAAGGAUAACAGGAUAUUAGUGAAGGAUACCAGUGAAAGAUAACAGUGAAGGCUACUAAUGAAGGAUACCAGUGAAGGAUA